UUUCAAAAUUAUUGUCUAACUCAACCUUCCAUGGCUCUAUCAUUUCUAGCUUGGCACUCGAUUCACCGCUCCUAAUCUCCUUCUUCUCAAACACUAACUUCAAUUCCAAAUCCUUCCGUUAUCGAUCAAAAUAUGCACUAGACAAAGUUGAAGAGGAAAGUCCACAAGGAUUUUAACGAACUCAAAGUUUCAGAUCUUCUUGUUCUUGAGGAGCUAGGUAAGGCUCGUGGUUCGAGUGUUAUAUGGGUUCGUUGGCUUCUGGUUUGCAAAUUAGGGAUUCUGUGAAAUAAUUUGGAAAAACCCUUUAUUACGUUUGGUUCGCAUGAAACAAAGGGUAAAUUGGAGUUUUAUAUAUCUCCUCUCUCUUCCCCAUCCAAUUUAUUUGAAUUUUUAAUAGUGAAAAUGAGUGAAAUUGGAUGGAACGAACUACUUAUCUGAUGGAUUAAUAAUUUACGAUGUCGUGGUUAUUGAUUCACUAUAGAAGAACAUAAAUGUUAAUUGGACUAUAACUUAGGGACAUCAAAUUAUAAGUA